rnacentral:pre_miRNA from 2 species
UAUUAGGUUGGUGCAAAAGUAAUUGUGGUUUUUGCCAUUACUUUUAAUGGCAGAAAUCUCAAUUACUUUUGCACCGACCUAAUG